GAAAAUUCAUUGGAUUUCAAGGAAUUAAGCAAGUAAAGGUGGUGAAACUUCCGAUAAAGGUAAGGAGAUUGUACCAGAAGACCGGGACUAAGAGUACUUCGACUCCCGAUAUUGAUCAGGAUAGUCUGUAGAUAGCUGAUUUCGUCGAGGAUCUACUUUAGGAUUUACAUCCUUAGAAAUCAAAGGUCUACCUUUUUGUACAUAUUUGUUUAUUUUAGGGGCCCACAUGUCAUUGUAGAAUAUUUUGUAUACUUGGCUGCUUGUGCCAUUGUAUGUAUGCAUAUAUUUUACUUUUACGCUAUAAAUAUUAUU